rnacentral:rRNA from 1 species
GAUGAACGCUGGCGGCGUGCUUAACACAUGCAAGUCGAACGGUGAAGGCGGAGCUUGCUCUGCUGGAUCAGUGGCGAACGGGUGAGUAACACGUGAGCAAUCUGCCCCUGACUCUGGGAUAAGCGCUGGAAACGGCGUCUAAUACUGGAUACGAGCUGCGAAGGCAUCUUCAGCAGCUGGAAAGAAUUUCGGUCAGGGAUGAGCUCGCGGCCUAUCAGCUUGUUGGUGAGGUAAUGGCUCACCAAGGCGUCGACGGGUAGCCGGCCUGAGAGGGUGACCGGCCACACUGGGACUGAGACACGGCCCAGACUCCUACGGGAGGCAGCAGUGGGGAAUAUUGCACAAUGGGCGAAAGCCUGAUGCAGCAACGCCGCGUGAGGGACGACGGCCUUCGGGUUGUAAACCUCUUUUAGCAGGGAAGAAGCGAAAGUGGCGGUACCUGCAGAAAAAGCGCCGGCUAACUACGUG